UGCGCAGGUGGGCUUGUAAGUCAGUGGUGAAACACUGCCGCUUAACGGUAGAACUGCCAUUGAUACUGCAAGUCUUGAGUAUGGUUGAGGUAGGCGGAAUGUGUUGUGUAGCGGUGAAAUGCAUAGAUAUGACACAGAACUCCAAUUGCGAAGGCAGCUUACUAAGCCAUUACUGACGCUGAGGCACGAAAGCGUGGGGAGCGAACAGGAUUAGAUACCCUGGUAGUCC
rnacentral:rRNA from 1 species